AAUCAACGCUGGCGGCGUGCCUCAGACAUGCAAGUCGAACGCGAAAGUCCCCGUUCGGGGGACAAGUAGAGUGGCGCACGGGUGAGUAACACGUAGGUAAUCUACCUUCGGAUGGGGAAUAACAACCGGAAACGGUUGCUAAUACCGCAUAAUGCAGCGGCACCUAAUGGUGACAGUUGUUAAAGGCGGGGGAUCGUAAGACCUCGCGUCUGAAGAGGAGCCUGCGGCGGAUUAGCAGGUUGGUAAGGUAAUGGCUUACCAAGGCUACGAUCCGUAACCGGCCUGAGAGGGCGGUCGGUCACACUGACACUGACAGUACGGGUCAGACUCCGUACGGGA
rnacentral:rRNA from 1 species